UCAGUCGACUCCUACGGGAGCAGCAGUGGGGAAUAUUGCACAAUGGGCGCAAGCCUGAUGCAGCAACGCCGUGUGAGUGAAGAAGGUUUUCGGAUCGUAAAACUCUGUCCUAAGGGAAGAAACAAAUGACGGUACCUUAGGAGGAAGCCCCGGCUAACUACGUGCCAGCAGCCGCGGUAAUACGUAGGGGGCAAGCGUUAUCCGGAAUCACUGGGCGUAAAGGGUGCGUAGGCGGCUUAGCAAGCCAGGGGUGAAAGGCAUUGGCUCAACCAAUGUAAGCCUUUGGAACUGUUAGGCUUGAGUGCAGGAGAGGUAAGUGGAAUUCCUAGUGUAGAGGUGAAAUUCGUAGAUAUUAGGAGGAACACCAGUGGCGAAGGCGACUUACUGGACUGUAACUGACGCUGAUGCACGAAAGCGUGGGUAGCGAACAGGAUUAGAUACCCUGGUAG
rnacentral:rRNA from 1 species